AGCAGCCGCGGUAAUUCCAGCUCCAAUAGCGUAUAUUAAAGUUGUUGCAGUUAAAAAGCUCGUAGUUGAACCUCGGGGUCUACCCAUUGGUCAGGCUUAAUUGUCUGCACUGGUGAGAUGGAUCUCUACCUUUUGAGGAACUUUCAUGCCAUUUAUUUGGUGUGAUGGGAAAUCAGGACUGUUACUUUGAAAAAAUUAGAGUGUUUAAAGCAGACUAUCGUCUGAAUACAUUAGCAUGGAAUAAUGAAAUAGGACGGACUGAUUCUAUUUCGUUGGUUUCUAGGAUCACCGUAAUGAUUAAUAGGGAUAGUUGGGGGCAUUAGUAUUCAAUUGUCAGAGGUGAAAUUCUUGGAUUUAUUGAAGACUAACUACUGCGAAAGCAUUUGCCAAGGAUGUUUUCAUUAAUCAAGAACGAAAGUUAGGGGAUCGAAGACGAUCAGAUACCGUCGUAGUCUUAACCAUAAACUAUGCCGACUACUGAUCGACGAAGUGCAGUAGGUAGUUAAAAA
rnacentral:rRNA from 1 species